GCAUAUUCAAUGCUCCUUGCUGCUUAUUUCUGGAAUUGAGGUGGCCUCGUGCUUUUAUAGGACAGCAAUUGACACAUUUGCCCUGGCAGCUGAGACAGCCCAUGAGGAAAGACGCUUUGGGGUCCACCUGUCCUAUUUAGAAACAGUUACACAAGACAGAGAAUGCUGAUUCACUAUGCAGUGAAACAUGCCUAACGUGUCAACAGCUAAAUGCCCGGUGACAGUGUGGUUGUCUGGGCAACAGAAGAAGUCACCCACGCAAACACUUAAAGGACCAUACUUAUUUUACAAGAGGAACAGUUUUCAAUGGAAUGGAUAUUAAAACACACACCUGGAUCCCUUUACCACAGGUGCUUUGAGAGGCACCAUCAAGGACAGUGAGCUAACGCAGGAGAAUGGAGUCCCAGAAACCUAGGAGGAGAAGACAAAGUGUCAGCCUCUCGGCAUCUGCAGUGUUGCUAGGAAAAGAGCUCUGAUCCCAGGGGCUUACCCACUUCCACAGGUAGGAAGCGUCCCUGAGAGGACUGGAACAUUAGCAUAUCUCAGAUCCAUCUGCAAAACUUUUGCAAACACGGAACUCCCUCGUUCUAAUCUUAUCAGCAACUUCCAGAGCUGAACCUUGAUUAAUCUGGAUACAAAAAGGAUUGAAACGCCACAUAAUAAGCAUUAACAGGAGGGUGUUUCCUUUAUCAAUGAAGCUUGAUUUAUCCAUGAUGAUCUAGUGCAUUCUCCUCCCAAAAAUCAGGAUCAUCCUCUGCAUAUGAAGGAACAGACAAGCCCUCAGCUCUACCACUUUGGAGAGGGGGGGAUUGGACAGCAUGAGCCUUCAAUUGUAUCUCUUGGAUGACCAAGGAAGGCUGGAUUUCUGCACCUAAAAAAUGGAAGCACAAACUGUACAACAAAUACUCUCCAUUCAAGUUGAAGUUCUCAAAUAAGGUAUCCAAUUAACCAAUGUAUUAAUAACAUUGAAAAUAAUAAUCUCAUAGGAAGAUUCCAAAAAUUUCUGGUUUUAUAUCUAGCAAAAACUUCAUGCACUAUGUUUGAUUUGUAUGUAGAACUCAGGGUGAACAUGCCAGUGACAGUGGCAAUGAGAGGGGUAACUGGGGGCCAGAAGCAGGCUGAGGGAGAGGAGAGGAGGGGGCAGAGUGUGCUCAGGGAACCAUGAGCCAUGCAGGAUAAGCAAUAGGGCAGAAUAAACAGGACAUACCCAUCUGUUUAUUCUCUCUGUAUAAUGUUUUGAUUCUCUUUGUACCCUAACUAACCAAGGCACAGCUCAGGAAGUUGCUGCCAGGAUUAGAAAAAGGGAGUUGCACAUUCUCAAAAAGCAAUGGUACAGUGCAAAGAAUGGUAAUUAAUCCCCCAGCACACUUGACCCAGCCCCUAAAGAACUUUGUGACCUUGGGCCAGGCAGGCAGCUCCCAGGCUUCUGUUUUGUCAUUUUUGACCUCUUCUGGCUGCAGUGAUUCAUUUCCAGAUAUAGGUUGCUUCAGCUCAUCUCAAAGUCUUCUUGUAGCCUGUUCUUUGAGAAAUGGUAAUAUAUCUCUUGAAAAGUUUCUUUUUCUUGCAAAGUCACCCAAUUCAUGAGUUAAUGAGGUCCCACCAGUGAUACGAUUGCAGAGUCACAAAUAUCACUAACUGAAAGGAGUAGAAGGAAGGCGGGAAUUGCAGACACACCAUGAGUGGGUGGCCUCCAGGAGAUACACGUGAGACCAGCCCUGUGGUGGGCCAGGUCAGAAGGACUUCUGCUUAGACUAGGUGGAAACUUCUCAGCAUUCUGAGGAGUACCACCAUCUGACUGGCAGUUUGAAGGUAUCACUUGGGCUGCUGUAUCAAGAAUAGACUUCAGAAGACAAGUUGAACGUAGCAAGACCAGUGAGAAAGGUGUCAUAGCCGUCCAAGUGCAGGGUGGCAGUGGAGAUAGGAGUUAUAUUAAGGAGAGAGUCACCAGGAUUUGCUGAUGGGUUAGGUGUGGGC
rnacentral:lncRNA from 1 species